GGGAAUAUAGCUUAGUCGGUAGAGUGCCUGCCUUGCAUGCACAUAGGCCCUGGGUUCAAUCCCUAGUACCA
rfam:Ictidomys tridecemlineatus contig031774, whole genome shotgun sequence.